rnacentral:rRNA from 1 species
UUAUUGGGUCUAAAACAUCCGUAGCUUGCUUGGUAAGUUCUCUGUGAAAUCCUGUAUCUCAAAUACAGGGCGGGCAGUGAGUACUGCCAAGCUAGAGACCGGAAGACGUGAGGAGUACGUUCAAAGUAGCGGUAAAAUGUUUUAAUCUUGAACGGACUAACGAUAGCGAAGGCACCUCACGAGGACGGUUCUGACAGUAAGGGAUGAAGGCUAGGGGCGCAAAACGGAUUAGAUACCCGUGUAGUCCUAGCAGUAAACACUGCACACUAAACAUCAGUACCUCUUCGAGAGGUAUUGGUGCUGCAGGGAAGCCGAAGAGUGUGCUACCUGGGAAGUAUAGUCGCAAGGCCGAAACUUAAAGGAAUUGGCGGGGAGGCACUACAACGGGUGACGCGUGCGGUUCAAUCAGAUUAUACACCGUGAACCUCACCAGGACCGACAGCAGAAUGAAGGUCAGUCUGAAGGGCUUACCUGACACGCUGAGAGGAGUUGCAUGGCCGACGUCAGCCUGUGUCGUGAGAUGACCUGUUAAAUCAGGUAACAGGCAAGACCCACAUGUAUAUUUACUAAGUGUACCAUAUACAGAUUGCCUUGGUAACAAGGAUGAAAGCGUGGGCUACGUUAGGUGAGUACAGCCCGACAGCCCUGGGCAACACGCGCGCGUCAAUGGUGAAUACAAUGGGAUGCGACUCUGAAAGGAGAAGCUAAUCUCUUAAAGUUCAUCUCAGUCUAGAUCGAGGCUUGUAACUCAGCCUCGUGACACUGGAAUCCGUAGUAAUCGGAUUUUAUCAAAGUCCGGUGAAUACGUCACGGCCUC